ACGCGCCUGUAGUCCCAGCUACUGGGGGAGGCUGAGACAGGGAAGAAGGAGAAAGGGCCAACCCCUGAAGAAGCAAUACAGAAACUGAAGGAGACAGAGAAGAUACUGAUCAAGAAACAGGAAUUUUUGGAGCAGAAGAUUCAACAGGAGCUACAAACAGCCAAGAAGUAUGGGACCAAGAAUAAGAGAGCUGCCCUACAGGCUUUGCGGAGGAAGAAAAGAUUCGAACAGCAGCUGGCACAAACUGACGGGACAUUAUCCACCCUGGAGUUUCAGCGUGAGGCCAUUGAGAAUGCCACUACCAAUGCAGAAGUCCUUCGUACCAUGGAGCUUGCUGCCCAAAGCAUGAAGAAGGCCUACCAGGACAUGUGGGGACAUUGACAAGGUAGAUGAACUGAUGACUGACAUCACGGAACAACAGGAGGUGGCCCAGCAGAUCUCAGAUGCCAUUUCUCGGCCUAUGGGCUUUGGAGAUG
rnacentral:lncRNA from 10 species